rnacentral:rRNA from 1 species
AUUGAACGCUGGCGGCAGGCUUAACACAUGCAGGUCGAGCGGAGAUGAGGUGCUUGCACCUUAUCUUAGCGGCGGACGGGUGAGUAAUGCUUAGGAAUCUGCCUAUUAGUGGGGGACAACAUUCCGAAAGGAAUGCUAAUACCGCAUACGUCCUACGGGAGAAAGCAGGGGAUCUUCGGACCUUGCGCUAAUAGAUGAGCCUAAGUCGGAUUAGCUAGUUGGUGGGGUAAAGGCCUACCAAGGCGACGAUCUGUAGCGGGUCUGAGAGGAUGAGCCGCCACACUGGGACUGAGACACGGCCCAGACUCCUACGGGAGGCAGCAGUGGGGAAUAUUGGACAAUGGGGGGAACCCUGAUCCAGCCAUGCCGCGUGUGCGAAGAAGGCCUUAUGGUUGUAAAGCACUUUAAGCGAGGAGGAGGCUACUGAGACUAAUACUCUUGGAUAGUGGACGUUACUCGCAGAAUAAGCACCGGCUAACUCUGUGCCAGCAGCCGCGGUAAUAC